GAGGGUGGGGCUGUAGCACCAGGUCAGGGAACGCGGGAGGCGCAGGGUUCCAGGGAUCCCGCGGGUCCUCGCGGCUUGGCCUGACCGGCUUCCUCCACAUACGCCCCUCUCCUACACAAGUCCGGCCCUCGGCGCUCCUGCCGAAGCAGCAGGCGCCUCGGACUCUGCGCGGCUCCCGCCGGCCACUCACCUAUGAUGGUCCGCGCCGCCGAGACGAUGACCACGGGAUCUGAGCCUGCAUUCAUCUUGCUUCUCCUGCCGCCGUCUGCCCUGCGCUGCCUGCAAGCUAGGCAAAGCUCGUCCUCGCAGCCCACAGGCCUGCGGCGGGCGGGACCUGAGCUCAGGACUGGAAUCCCACGGGCGAGAAUCUCGAGUGCGAGCCCGGCCCGCGGCGGGUCUCAGCACAGCUCUGAUGGGUCCUUUUGCUCUCGGCGGCUUCGGGAGGUCCUAUGCGUUUCGCCUGGCGCCAGUCAUUCGCUCGCGUGAGGGGCUUGCUAGGAGCGUCUCGGUGCGAGCCCCCUGCCUUCUAAGAUCAACUCUGGCUGUGAACGGGUGAGGACGCCGGGAGCGUCUUAGCGUCACAAAAGUUCCUUUGGUUGACGUUUGGACAGUGAAAGGAGCAUGUAACAAGUGGGAUCAGUUUUGUUUAAAACCCUUUCUGACUUCCCAGCCUCUUACUGGGCAAAGUUCAUAAUUUUUCUCAGCUUUCUACGGUUUCCAGGCAAGCUUAUGAGGGGCUACCAUUACAGCAACUUGUUGGGAACACCUGGAUAGUGGAACAAGAAAGCUUUGUCACAAAGUCAUGAAGGGGAAAACUGUUGACGGACCUGGAGAAUCUUCCUGAAGAACUUUAAAGUUGAUUGAAAGAAUCAUUAAAUCCUGGAAACCUACAUUAAGACUUUGCAGAGAUAUGCGGAUGGGUCAGAUAAAUCAGAGAAGAUAAAGAGUGUAGGCCCCAGAGGCGGGGCAAUAGAGAAGGAAAAAAAUUGCAUAACAGUGCAAUUUCAGGAGAAAUCUUUAGGGUCUGGAAUAGUGGUGAAAUCAGCCGUCUACUCUGCUAAGAACUCAGCAGCACACUUAAGUCUCUUCUUUUCAGUUGUCUUCAAUGUGUUUCCUGUCCCCUAACAUAUCUGAGUCCAAGGAAUUCAAGGAAUGCCUCCCGUGGCUUUUGCUCUAUUCUAUCCCAUUUUCCCUUUACUCCCUGGCCACUUCUGAGUCUUUGUGGGCUUACUCUCACAUCCCCUUAACAUAUUCCCCAAGGCUCCUACUUUGCACCAGCUCCCUGGGUAAUACCAGUCAUUCCUACGGCAUCAAUCACCACCUGUAUACUGACAAGUCUGAAAUCCUUACAUCUAACCUCGUCUUCUAAGCUGACUGACCCUCUUCAUUUAAAUUCUUACAAGCACAUCAGGUCGGGCACCUUGGCUCACACCUGUAAUCCCAGCACUUUGGGAGGCCGAGGAGGGCGGAUCAUUUGAGGUCAGCAGUUUGAGACCAGCCUGGCCAACAUGGUGAUAUCCCGUUUCUACCAUAAAAUAGAAAAAUUAGCCGGGCGUGGUGCCGUGCGCCUGUAAUCCCAGCUACUGGGGAGGCUGACAUGGGAAAAUCGCUUGAACCUAGGAGGCAGAGGUUUCAAUGAGCCGAGAUCACACCACUGCACUCCAGCCUGAGCGACAGAGAGAAACUGUCUCGAAUAAAUAAAAUUUCCUGUAAGCACAUCAAA
rnacentral:sRNA from 1 species